rnacentral:lncRNA from 1 species
AUGGAAAUGUUAUUUGUCCAGUGCUCUGUGCACGCCAGGCACGCUGUGAACACAAAACAAGACAAUGCCCAAACUAUUUACAGGUUGGUGACCUGUGUCUGCCUCCUGUGGUGGCGACUCUACACAAACUCCAAAGGCAUGCAUUUGUGUGUGUGUGUGUACACACGGAUGUGUUCGUGGAGGGGCUGUGGGGCUGGUUUAAUUUUCAGCCAGAUCAACCCCGUGAUUUGGCUCAACAUACAGCCAGAUAGAUGCUACUGUUGGCAGGCAGAGAGGGGAGGAAUGAGCAUGUGGGGAGGAAAGAGCAGCAGAGGACAGCUGCUGUGGGAACUGUGCUACCCCUUGUCUACAUCCACUGCAGAGAUGUGCACAGGACACUCAGGCCCUGCUCCAGCUGCGGUGUGCGGAGGCCAAGUUAUUAGAGGUGAACUGGAAAAUGAAGCAAUAAAACACCAUUAACUUUAGCACUUUAGAAGCUGGAGAUGGAAAUGACCCAUGAGACCUCUGCCAGAAAAAGACUGCUCCUUACUGCAAUAGGUAUGCCACAGAGGGAAGAGCAGGAUGUGCGUGCACCAUACGUUGCCCCUGCCUUUCCAUCUGCUUGUCCAUCCCCUGCACCUUGCCUCUUUUCCCUCUCCCGUGUGAUACGGCGCUGCAGCAGGCUCUGUUCGGAUGCUGUCAUUGCCCACCAACAAAUUCCACAUGAGCAGGAAGCCAGCUGUGCGGAAAAGAAAAGGGCGGUGGAAAAUGGACCUUCAGAAAAAAAAAAGAAAAAAAAUGCAUUUUCAUGGGUGCUUUUUAGCAAACAAAUAAAUGUCAUAAUGCAAGAAAAUGAGAGGUUUGU